rnacentral:rRNA from 1 species
UACGUAGGGGGCAAGCGUUGUCCGGAAUCAUUGGGCGUAAAGCGCGUGUAGGCGGCCCGAUAAGUCCGCUGUGAAAGUCCAGGGCUCAACCCUGGAAUGCCGGUGGAUACUGUCGGGCUCGAGUCCGGAAGAGGCGAGUGGAAUUCCUGGUGUAGCGGUGAAAUGCGCAGAUAUCAGGAGGAACACCGGUGGCGAAGGCGGCCUGCUGGGCAGUGGCUGACGCUGAGGCGCGACAGCGUGGGGAGCAAACAGG